GUCUAUGGCCAUACCACCCGGAAUGUGCAUGAUCUCAUCUGAUCUCAGAAGCUAAGCGGGGUCGGGCCUGGUUAGUACUUGGAUGAGAGAUCGCCUGAGAAUGUAGUCUAUCCU
ensembl:rRNA 5S_rRNA 5S ribosomal RNA